AGAGUUUGAUCAUGGCUCAGGAUGAACGCUAGCUACAGGCUUAACACAUGCAAGUCGAGGGGAAACGAUAUUGGAAGCUUGCUUCCGAUAGGCGUCGACCGGCGCACGGGUGAGUAACGCGUAUCCAACCUGCCCACCACUUGGGGAUAACCUUGCGAAAGUAAGACUAAUACCCAAUGAUAUCUCUAGAAGACAUCUGAAAGAGAUUAAAGAUUUAUCGGUGAUGGAUGGGGAUGCGUCUGAUUAGCUUGUUGGCGGGGUAACGGCCCACCAAGGCAACGAUCAGUAGGGGUUCUGAGAGGAAGGUCCCCCACAUUGGGACUGAGACACGGCCCAGACUCCUACGGGAGGCAGCAGUGGGGAAUAUUGCACAAUGGGGGAAACCCUGAUGCAGCGACGCCGCGUGGAGGAAGAAGGUCUUCGGAUUGUAAACUCCUGUUGUUGGGGAAGAUAAUGACGGUACCCAACAAGGAAGUGACGGCUAACUACGUGCCAGCAGCCGCGGUAAAACGUAGGUCACAAGCGUUGUCCGGAAUUACUGGGUGUAAAGGGAGCGCAGGCGGGAAGACAAGUUGGAAGUGAAAUCUAUGGGCUCAACCCAUAAACUGCUUUCAAAACUGUUUUUCUUGAGUAGUGCAGAGGUAGGCGGAAUUCCCGGUGUAGCGGUGGAAUGCGUAGAUAUCGGGAGGAACACCAGUGGCGAAGGCGGCCUACUGGGCACCAACUGACGCUGAGGCUCGAAAGUGUGGGUAGCAAACAGGAUUAGAUACCCUGGUAGUCCACACCGUAAACGAUGAUUACUAGGUGUUGGAGGAUUGACCCCUUCAGUGCCGCAGUUAACACAAUAAGUAAUCCACCUGGGGAGUACGACCGCAAGGUUGAAACUCAAAGGAAUUGACGGGGGCCCGCACAAGCAGUGGAGUAUGUGGUUUAAUUCGACGCAACGCGAAGAACCUUACCAAGUCUUGACAUCCCUUGACGAUGCUGGAAACAGUGUUUCUCUUCGGAGCAAGGAGACAGGUGGUGCAUGGUUGUCGUCAGCUCGUGUCGUGAGAUGUUGGGUUAAGUCCCGCAACGAGCGCAACCCUUAUGGUCAGUUACUACGCAAGAGGACUCUGGCCAGACUGCCGUUGACAAAACGGAGGAAGGUGGGGAUGACGUCAAAUCAUCAUGCCCUUUAUGACUUGGGCUACACACGUACUACAAUGGCGUUAAACAAAGAGAAGCAAGACCGCGAGGUGGAGCAAAACUCAGAAACAACGUCCCAGUUCGGACUGCAGGCUGCAACUCGCCUGCACGAAGUCGGAAUUGCUAGUAAUCGUGGAUCAGCAUGCCACGGUGAAUACGUUCCCGGGCCUUGUACACACCGCCCGUCACACCAUGAGAGCCGGGGGGACCCGAAGUCGGUAGUCUAACCGCAAGGAGGACGCCGCCGAAGGUAAAACUGGUGAUUGGGGUGAAGUCGUAACAAGGU
rnacentral:rRNA from 1 species